CAAGCCACAUCUGGUUUUACCUACAGGCUCAGAGUCAUUUAAUAUCCAUUAAAUAUCUUGGCCAGGGCAACUGCCCCAAAGCUUUUGAUUGGAGCAUAUAAUUGGACAUGAGUGACUCCAUGCUGCCAGACCAAUCUGACUGUGUAAUUUUUCUUUUCUCUCUGUCCUUCCUUCCUUUCUGUGUGAGCCAUACUGAUAUGCUAAUUAGGAAACCCUAAGGUGUGCAGUGAUAUGCUAAUGAGUAAACCCUAAGGUUUUACAGUAUGAUAAGGAAUGUGUGCUGUGCCAAAAAAACUAUGUGUGCUCAGAUAGUUAUGCAAAUUAUGUAACCCUAAGGUUUUAGAGUGUGAUAAAGUGUGUGCUGUGAUUUUUGCUGAUUUUAAAAAUGUAUAAAAACCCAACGUUGUAACUGGACCGGUGGCAGUCCUCCUUGCUUGCCUCCCGGAGCACGACUGCCCCGUCGGUACCAGCCACCAUUGGUCAUUGCCUCGCCAUCCUCCGAGACUGUUUUGCUGUAUGAGAGAACCGUCAAUAAAGAGCUACACGUUGGACCCAACUUCUUGGACUGCAUGCUGACUCUAUCACUUGAUGAGUAGUUGGAUGCCUGGAUCCAAUCCACAGUAACUGUCAAAGACUAGAGACAGCACCCUACCUACAACUAGCAGACAACCAGUCACUCUCCUUAUAACUCAAGGUUCCUGACAUUCAAAACAACAGAUUGAUACUACACUGCUACCAUAUUACACCAGUCAUGAAUUGGAAUGCAAAGACAGUGGGUGAUAUGUUACCACCACCACCACCAUAUACUAAAAGCCAGUCAUCUGUUCUGCAGCAGUUUUUAGUAAACCAGCUUACCACAACAUCUCAAAGUUCUUUCAACUAUCCUGGAAGUAAUGAAGCAUGCAUGUAUUCCAGCAAUUCAAAUCCAGUUUCACAACCAGUGCAAAAUAUCAGAAAUUACAGUACUCCUCAGGUUUCUAAUAUGCAUAAUAGGACAUUGGUGGCCUCACAAACAUCAGUAGAAAGGAUAACAUGUAGAACUAUUACAGGACCCACACAACCAAACCAUAAUUUGCAAAUGUCUUCAGGAAUUAUGCAAAAUGUAUGGUUGAACUCAUCAGUGAGGAAUUCCAUGCCUUCUCAUACAGAGGCAACUGUGUGUCAUCAGGCUGAUGUUGGAACUAAUACAUCUAAUCCUCAUACACUACAGAGUCAGCUUGUAUCAUCAGAUAGGUAUUCUGUGCAACUACAAAUGAAUCCUUCAAAUUCUGUAAGAGCUCCUGUAACUUUUCAAGGAGAUCGAGCACUUAGCCAACCACCAUCAGAUCGACAGAUUGAUUGGGUGCAGCAGUAUGCAUCGAAUGAACAGACCUAUCCUGAUUACAGACCACUUCCAAAGCAAUACUCUUAUUCGCCACAAAGCUUUUUGCAAGAUCCAGCAGUUCAGAAACAGAACAUUACACCACAAAGCUUUUUGCAAGAUCCAGCUGUUCAGAAACAAAACAUUAUGCCACAAAGCUUUUUGCAAGAUCCAGCUGUUCAGAAACAAAACAUGCCAUCUACAUCAUCUCAAGUUAAAAACUGUCAGUUUCCCUCAUUAACACAGACUUUACAAUCAUCACAGACUGUGCCUGUGUCCUCUUAUCAAUAUCCUACCCAAACAAACAAAAGACUCCGUCCUCUUCUUCCUUACCCCUGCAAAUAUGGAAGACAGCCUUUGUCAAAUUCUCAACAUGUUAUAAAAAACUUACCUGUGGAAGUUCCUCAGAGUCCUGAAGUGUACUCGUCUGAAGUAAAAGACUUCAAUAAAGGCUUUCAAUUGCUGUGGCCAAACGCUAGUGAAAGUCUUCACACAACUGGAAAUUUCUGUAAUUUGAAGGUACAUACCAAUGUCACACAGCCUUUUAAUGAACCAGUUAGAUCUUCUGUGGAUAGUGCUCAGACUCUUGCUCAAAAUAAUCAAGAGAAAAGAAUGGAUUCCUGCAAUCUAGCAUCAAAUCUAAUACCGGACACAAAUGUCACAAAAGAAAAGCUAGUGAGGGAUAUUAAAUCGUUAGUAGAAAUUAAAAGGAAGUUUUCAGAACUUGCAAGGAAAAUUAGAAUUAAUAAAAAUCUCCUGAUGGGCUGUACAAAAACAACAAAUAACUCUUAUGGUGAACCAGCUCGGCAGUCUGAAUUCUCAACACAAGGGAUAUCUGCUAAAAGUGACAGUCACUGUUCCAUGGAGUUGCUAACAACGUGUCUUAAUCUUUGGAAAAAGCCACCUUCAACAACAACAGAAGAAAAACCUUCACAACCUUCAGAGGAAAAGCAAUGUAAUGAAUUAAAAACAAACACAACUGCACUUGGAAUUUCAAAGACUGCAGAAGGUGAUAUUAAGGUUUUUUGUUCAGUUGAAGGAAAUUCUCAGAAUAAAAGGGUAACGCCAUCCCAAGAAACAACUUUGCCAGUGAUAACCCAGAAUUAUGACUCUUCUGGUGCAAACAUAACCAAGGGGACAGAACUUCAGAUUGCUAUUGUGUCACCCUUAAUUCUUUCAAAUGUCAAAUCAUUGCCUCUCAAAAGAAUGACACCUGAAGCUUUACCUGAACUGGUGUAUCCAGUUAUCAAAGAAGGUAGCAUUUGUAGCUUACAAAGUCCAAUGGAAAAAAAUAAAACAGUGGUUGCUACUGUGAAAGUUGAUGUUAACAGUCCAGUUGCUAGUACUACAAUUUCAACUAAGGCUGUUCCACUAACUCAGAAGGAAAAGCAGAAUGAAGCAACUAGUGGUGAUUCAGAACGCAUGACUCAUAUCAGUCAAGGAAAGCACUCUUCUCUGAGUGAUCAGCAAACCUCAUGUAAAUCAAGGGACAUUCCUGUUGAGAGUGGUGAUGUAUUACUGAUUGAAAAUAUUUGUUCUCUUGUUGAAGGUGAUGUAUCUUAUAAUUCUCAAAUCGCAAAAAUAUUCAGCUCUUCUGCUUUGGAAAAAGUUGAGACACAGAACCUCUCUUCAUCAUCCUACCAGCAAGUGAUUAAUAGCAGACAAAAAGAACAAGUAGAUAACACCACUGCAAAUAAGGACCUUGGUUUUCAAAGACACGAAUGUAUGCAAUGCGCAGAUGUUGCUCGUGAAACAACUGAUCAGUCAGAGUCACUGCAACCUCCAGGGUUGUCAUCUUUUGAGCAUUUUGAAACAAAUGGAAGAAUUCCAGAGGAAAGCAAUUUAGAACAAACCAUUGAAAUGGAAAGCACAGGUAAAGAUGUGUGUUGUUCACCUACCAUGAUUCAGCCAAGUACUAACCCUCAGGAAAAGGCAGCCAGCAAUGUCACUACCCAUGAUUCUGCUAGAAAGGAGGUUCACGAUGACAACACACCCAUCUUGUAUCUACAUGACCAGCUAUCAGAACUUCUGAAAGAGUUUCCCUAUGGCAUUGAAGCUAUGAACACACGUGAAAGAUCUGUGGGCCAAAAAGUGACCGGCCAGAUCUCACAAGAUCCAACUUGUGAUAAAACCAUUUGUGACUCUAAGGAUAAGGAUUCCAUAGACCAAAUACAAAUUACAAUAUUAAGCACAGAGCAGAUGAAAGAAUUAUUUCCUGAAGAGGAUGAGCCCUGUGAGGUAGACACGCAGCAAGCCUGUGAGGUAGACAAGUUGCCAGAAUCUCAGACAGAGAAGCCUAUAGCACAAAAGAGCCCAUGUGACCCACAAGCAGCUACUGCACAAGCACCUUAUGAAUCUAUAAUAUGGGACCCAGAAAAAGACAAAAUCCACUGCUGUGCAUUGGGUUGGCUUACAACGGUUUAUGAAGGAGUGCCCCAGUGUCAGUGUAAUUCCAUUAAGAGCUCCACCCCGGAGCAGGAGAAAGGGAAAGAUCAGAGUUCGUUGGAGACCAAGAGUUGUAACUCAGAAGAGAGAGAUGUCACUAUCCUUGCAUUUAAUGUUUCAAAUAAUCCAAAGAUGACUCUUCCUCAGGUGACUGAGGAAAAAAAUUUAUCUGAAAUACAUGGCGAGAGUAUAAAAAAGACAUCUGAAACAAAGCAGAACUGUUUGUUGGGGACAGAACCAAAAUUACCUGGUCAGUUCUCUGAAUGUGAUGGUGACAAAAAGCAUACAUCUAGUGCAAAACAGGACAGCUCCCUAAAAAUGGGAAAAGAAUCAAAUUGUCAGUUUUCACCAAAAGGCAACAAACUUGAUGGCUUACAAAGUAAUAAAAGGAAAAGAAAGUUGAAAUUCCAUGAGGUGUCUUUGCACUCUACUAAUAAAAUGACGUUUUAUGAGCAAGCUUCCCAAGUAAACCAGGAGAAACGUGUACCACAGAACCCUCGUCCACUGCAAGUAAAGACUAAAGAGCUACACAGGAGGAAUGGUUCUUCGGUACAUUCAAUAUCACCAGAAAAGAAAAAAUUUAAGUUUAGAGUAGGUCGCUCCAAACAAAAACAUAGAGAAGAAAGGAAGUUAGACCAAGGGAACAUACUGGAUAGGGAGAUAAAGAAGGAACAAUCUGAUAAACAGGAACAGAAUAAAAAUGUGGGAGGUACACACAAGCCAUGUAAUAUUUUGUCAAAUCCUAAUGAAAGAGUCAGUGUUAAAGAAAAGACAGUGUCAAACACCAACUCAGACUUGAAGCACAGUUCAACUAAGAGAAUUAUAACACCGAAGGAAUAUUUACAAAGGCAGAAGCAUAAAGAAUGGAUGGCCAACCAAACAUCCCAGAAGAUAUGUGUUAAUGAUGUACCACGUGAUUCUGAGCCCAGUCUGCUUCCUGUGCAAGUGGGGAACUGUAAGAAACCAAAUGAGAGACCCAGCGGCAGUAUAGAGGCCUCUGAAGAACCAGCAAUUGUGUGUACCAGCCAUGGUAAAAGCCUCAAACACCACCGUUCUGAGAAGUCUAAGAUGAACAACAGUUCAAGGACUGUUAAAGAAAGAGCCGAUAAAAUGCUGCCUCACAAAAUGUGCACUGAUAAACCAAAGUAGACCAAAAAUCAACCAGUACAAGUAGUAAGUUGAAUUCACCAAGUGCCUUCCCAGGCAAAAGAGCAAAGGAAAUUGUAUCUGAAUAGGGUUGCAUUUAAGUGCACAGAACGGAAAAGUAUUUGUCUCACCCAGUAUGACAGUCCACCUCAAAAGCUUCAUAAAGAUAAAGAGCAAGAAAAGAAGCCUCAGAUCUCUGUGGAAGAUGCCCCAGUAAAACCAAGUAUGUUGGAGUUUAAAUUAUGUCCAGAUGUACUGUUAAAGAAUGAAAACUCAGUUGAAAAGGGAAUGAUCGGAAGCCUCACUCAAAGGAGCAAGCCCCUGUGCAAGUUUCAGGAAUAAAAAGUACAAAAGAAGAUUGGAUAAAAUGUGAAAAAGUGAAGAAAAGGAAGCAGGAAACGAACCAAGAAACAGG